rnacentral:rRNA from 1 species
UACGUAGGUGGCAAGCGUUGUCCGGAUUUAUUGGGUUUAAAGGGUGCGUAGGCGGUCCUAUAAGUCAGUGCUGGAGUAUCCCGGCUUAACCGGGAGGGUGGCAUUGAUACUGCAGGACUUGAGUAAAGUUGAGGUAAGCGGAAUUGACGGUGUAGCGGUGAAAUGCUUAGAUAUCGUCAAGAACACCUAUUGCGAAGGCAGCUUACUAAGCUUUAACUGACGCUGAGGCACGAAAGUGUGGGGAUCAAACAGG